AUCUGCCUAUUAGUGGGGGACAACGUUUCGAAAGGAACGCUAAUACCGCAUACGUCCUACGGGAGAAAGCAGGGGACCUUCGGGCCUUGCGCUAAUAGAUGAGCCUAGGUCGGAUUAGCUAGUUGGUGAGGUAAUGGCUCACCAAGGCGACGAUCCGUAACUGGUCUGAGAGGAUGAUCAGUCACACUGGAACUGAGACACGGUCCAGACUCCUACGGGAGGCAGCAGUGGGGAAUAUUGGACAAUGGGCGAAAGCCUGAUCCAGCCAUGCCGCGUGUGUGAAGAAGGUCUUCGGAUUGUAAAGCACUUUAAGUUGGGAGGAAGGGUUGUAGAUUAAUACUCUGCAAUUUUGACGUUACCGACAGAAUAAGCACCGGCUAACUCUGUGCCAGCAGCCGCGGUAAUACAGAGGGUGCAAGCGUUAAUCGGAAUUACUGGGCGUAAAGCGCGCGUAGGUGGUUUGUUAAGUUGGAUGUGAAAGCCCCGGGCUCAACCUGGGAACUGCAUCCAAAACUGGCAAGCUAGAGUACGGUAGAGGGUGGUGGAAUUUCCUGUGUAGCGGUGAAAUGCGUAGAUAUAGGAAGGAACACCAGUGGCGAAGGCGACCACCUGGACUGAUACUGACACUGAGGUGCGAAAGCGUGGGGAGCAAACAGGAUUAGAUACCCUGGUAGUCCACGCCGUAAACGAUGUCAACUAGCCGUUGGAAUCCUUGAGAUUUUAGUGGCGCAGCUAACGCAUUAAGUUGACCGCCUGGGGAGUACGGCCGCAAGGUUAAAACUCAA
rnacentral:rRNA from 1 species